ensembl:lincRNA
UGGACAGAGACACAGAUGUGUGGUAGUACAGGUUGUUGACUGUACAAAGUCACCCAACUGAGUGGGGAAGUCGGACUGACAUCUGCACCCUGAUCAUCAAGCUGACGUUGCUGUGCCUGAAUCUAGGCUGGAGAUGGAGAAAGCAUGGGCCCUACUAAGAGCUGGGAAAUUCACCUACUCAGCCCCAUCGCACUUCCCUGCAGUGGCCCUUCUCUUACCUUGCUGGCAAUACAGCCGUGCCUCCCUCCGUGACUGUCUGCAGAGUGGGCACUGCUCCUUCCCAUGCCCCCUUCCACCGAGUCCACAGAGCAGGGAGAGGGCUUCAAGGAGGACAGCGCCACCUUGUGAUGGGAGCUGCCCGGAGGCUUGGAGCUGAGGGGCGGGAGAGGGCGUGGCGCCGCAGGUGAGCAGCUUCCAGAGGAAGUGAUGUCCAUGUCGGAGCUGUUUCCUCCCAGAUGGGUGUUGGAGGCCACCGGGGCACCACCUUUCUCCCAGCCUGUUCUCCCAGUCCUCAUUCUUUUUGUUUUUCUUUCCUGGUAGUGGGGAUUGAAUCCAGGGAAUGUUGAGCUACAUUCUCAGCCCUUUUUUAUUUUCAGACAGGCUUCCAUUAAGUUGUCCAGCUGGUCUUGAACUGGUGACUCUCCUGCUUCAGCCUCCUAAGUAGCUGAGAUUACAAGCUUGGGCCACUAUGCCCAGCCCAAUCCUUAUUGUUGUUGUUGUUAUUAUUAUUAUUAUUAUUAUGUCUUUUGAGACAGGGUCUUGCUAUGCAGUUCAGGCUGGGCUUGAGUUCACUUUAUAGCCCAGGCUCAUCUCUAACUUGAAAGGAUCCUCCUGCUUCAGCCUCCUGAGUGCUGGGAUUAGAGGCAUGGGCCACCACUCCCGACUUUGUAAUCAUUAUUCUUUAGUGCCCCAAGUGCCCCACCUCAGCCUAGCUAAGCUUGAUCUUUUUAUUUAUUUUUUUUUUAUUUUUUGAGAUAGAGUCUCACUAUGUAGUUUAGGCUGAUCUUGAACUCACUAUGGCCCAGGCUGGCCUCGGAUUCCCGAUGAUCCUCCUGCCUCAGCCUCCCAAGUGUUGUGAUUACAGGUGUGUGCCACCACGCUCAGCUGAGCUUGAUCAUUUUUAUACCUGCAGUCCCUGAACUCCACCAGAGCUCAAGAACUGGGAAAAGGGGUAGAGAAGUGUGGCUCAGUGAGGCACCUUGUGCUUGGCCUGACCCCAAGCCCUAUUUCAGUGAGCUGAAGAGAACCAGAAGUCACAAUGGCCUGCUCAGGAGCACCUCUGUGUGUCUUCAGGGACACAGUCUGAGGCCCAAGGAAAGAAGGUGUGAACCAGGGGCCAGGAAGUCAGUAGUCAGUUGGGCCACUCACUCCCCAGCAGCACCUACGCAGACGGCCUGUGGCCCCUAGGCCUGCUCCUCGUCACGCCCUCGUGCAGCUCUUUUGGAGACAGCGCCUUCACAGAGGCGCCUCCUCAGGGGAAGCCACUUGUUGCCAGGAGACAGGGAGCCUAGGUUCCCCGGCUGAUGCUGUGACCCCAGCCUGCACCUCUUCCCAGGGGCCCCUGUGCAGAGCUGAUGCCUCCACCCAUUGAGCUCCCCGGGGCCAGUGUGGCCCUUCCUCCAGACCUUGUGAUGUGACCCAGGGGCCCUGGACUAGAUUCAGGGACUCAGCCCAAAAGCUCUUGGCUCUGCCGCUGACUCCCUGUGGGCUGUUCUCUCUUCAGCCAUUACCCACAGGACUAGGACAUGGAGAGAGAGAAUCCUAGCUGGGCUCCCCACCUUCUGGCCAGAAUCCUCACGGUUUAGAUGAAUACGCUGUGACAUCAGAUACACUGUGACCCUGGACCAGUAACAGCAUCUAUCUGAGCCUCGGUUUUCUCAUCUGGAAAAUGGGGACAAAAUAGUACAUGUGUGCACGCACACAUACACACACACACCCAUAGAAAGGGCUAUUGUCAGGAUGAAAUGAGAGAAAAUUAACAGAAGGUUGGUCCAGGGUUAAAUGAGUGUGUAGUGCGUGGGGCUGGAGGUGGGGACAGGUCCCAUCAUCCAGGCUGCUGAGCCAACUCAGAACACAUCUACCAAUUCCGAAGCCCCUUCAUUCUGAGUCCUUAGUCAUGGUCGGCUGGCUUUCCAGCAGCCUGUCCUCCUGUCUCGUCCUAUCUCCUUCCUAGCCUUUAGAUUUUUUUUUUUUUUUUUGACAAAUUCUUGCUGUGUUGCCUAUGUUCUAGGCUUGCUUUUGAACUUGCAAUCCUUCUGCUUCAGCCUCCUAGAGUUCUGGGAUUACAAAUGUGCACCACCAUGUGCGACUGUCUGGGUCCCUCCUUAAUCUCUUUCCCCAUCUUCCUUUUUGCUCUCCCUUUCUCCUCAGAACCUCUGCCCUGAACUGAGGGCCUCACUCGGUCAUUUCAGCCCCCACAGUGGCUGUUCCAGUCCAGCCCAGAGUUAUUUUUAUCUCCUUGAUUGAUAACCAAGAGGCUGCAGGCCCUUGCCAGUCUGAGAAGGGUAAUGGGGGUGGUGAGGGCCCUGUGUUGUUACCUGUGACACUUGCUUGGGAUCUCACCUUUCUCUGCAGUGGAGGGACCCAGAUCCUCAGAAUGAGGACACAAGGAGGACCAAUGAGAGGAAUGGCUGUAGGUCUUAGGGUCCCUAUUUUCCUCUAAGGCUGUUUGGCAGUGAUAAGGCGGCAUGGGGCAGAGGUGAGUCCUCAAGGGCCACUGUGUCCCCUGGGCUGGCCUCUGUUGCUGGCUUGUCUUUGGGGGAGACCAUUCAUGUCAUGUGCUGCAGCGUGAGAAGCCAGGUGGUCAUUCACUCUUUUAGCCCUCAGCUCCCCUCAUGAGCAGGGGCUGGAAGGAGGUAGUGGUCUGGGCACUUGGAGGUAGACACUAUCCAAAAAACUGCAGAGAGGGGCUGGGGAUUUAGCUCAGCGGCAAAAGCGCCUGCCUGGCAAGCGCAAGGUCGUGAGUUCGGUUCCCAGUACCGGAGAAAAACCAAAAAAAAAAC